GACGAACGCUGGCGGCGUGCCUAAUACAUGCAAGUAGAACGCUGAAGAGAGGAGCUUGCUCUUCUUGGAUGAGUUGCGAACGGGUGAGUAACGCGUAGGUAACCUGCCUGGUAGCGGGGGAUAACUAUUGGAAACGAUAGCUAAUACCGCAUAAUAGUAGAUGUUGCAUGACAUUUGCUUAAAAGGUGCAAUUGCAUCACUACCAGAUGGACCUGCGUUGUAUUAGCUAGUUGGUGAGGUAACGGCUCACCAAGGCAACGAUACAUAGCCGACCUGAGAGGGUGAUCGGCCACACUGGGACUGAGACACGGCCCAGACUCCUACGGGAGGCAGCAGUAGGGAAUCUUCGGCAAUAGACGGAAGUCUGACCGAGCAACGCCGCGGGAGUGAAGAAGGUUUUCGGAUCGUAAAGCUCUGUUGUAAGAGAAGAACGAGUGUGAGAGUGGAAAGUUCACACUGUGACGGUAUCUUACCAGAAAGGGACGGCUAACUACGUG
rnacentral:rRNA from 1 species